UGACUUCUUGUCAUCAAGUUCUGCCUGCGCUGUUCUCUGUCUCUUAAAAGUUCUUUGAUAUGCAUAUUCCAAAUGAUAAUAUGUUAUAUUAUCAUAUGAAAAUAUUAAUGUGACAUAUAAUUUAAAUCAUUGAUUAAUAUAACAUAUUAUUUAAAUCAUUGAUUAAUACUAGCCCAGAUAGUACCAUGAGGGCAACGUCCUAAGCCUUAAUGCUUAUAGGACCCAAGUUCGAAUCCUGGGAAGGCCACUCUGGUUCUGGCCCAUUCCGACUGUGAUGCCUCCGUCUGGCACAGUUCAAUGGUACGACUGGCCAGAGCCAAAAAUAAAAACAAAUGACGUCCCAACAAUAAUGAUAAAAGAUACCAUUGGAAUUCCAAUAUUGGUUUUCUUCUUUUUUAUAUAUAUUAUUAAAGGUGUUUCAUGUUUGAAGGUUACAACUUUUAAGAAAAAGGGUUUUAAGAUUUAAAUAUUUUCAUAUAUAAAUAAAUUAAAUCUCUCCCGCCUUUAAAUAAUAAUCCAUCUCAAAAGACCAUCACAUUAAAUUUAAUACUAUACAAUGAAGAUUAUGGUGGAAAAUGAACUCUACUAUUCUAGCGAUUUCAAAGUUUUAAUCCAAAUUUAAAUUUAUUAAAUUGGUAAAAUUGUUUAAACAAUCAUUUUUAUUAUUUAAUACUACCAUAAUUUCCUGAAAUCAGCAUCACAUGAAUAGUGUAAUUCAGAAUGAAAAAUCACUCUUUUAGUAAGCAAUCCUUUUUAUUAUUUUAUAGCAUAAUCAUAAGGAUAUAGUUUGUUGACUACGCUACAUAUUCAUGAAAAUAAAUAUCAUAGAGUAAUAUGAUAUGAUAAGAUAAGAGCAUCUUAGUAUAUUCCACUACUAUAUUAUCCAUUGGUGGGCAUGGAAUGCUGUUCUCCUUUUGGAAGCAAUGGAAUAUUAUUGGGAGACUUGAGAAUCUCCUCUCCCUCUCUCUCUCUCUUUCUCUCUCUCUCUCUCCCUUUAUGUGAAGAAUAAAGAGUGUAGGCAUGCUGUUGUUGCAGGCUCAUCAGGUAAGUGAUUUGCACCUCUCUCUCUCUCUCUCUCUCUCUCUCUCAGUUGCUGCCUCUCUUUCUCUCUCUCCCUGUGAAGAAUGAAUAGUCUAGUGCAGGCUUAUCUAUUAUGGACUGAGCUUAUUUGACGGAAGCUCCAACUCUAACUGGUUUUAUACGUCUCAAAGCUCUUCUUCCAUGCUCCAGUGCCAACAUGAAGAGACCAAACAGGUACAUUAUGCAAAGAUGAAGCUUUUCUAGAAUUGAAAACAAGAAACAUGGACUGCUUUCUCCAUCGGCAUCGGUUCUUCUACGUGACAUCCAGGUGACUAGGCACCCUGAAUUAGAACAGCAUGUGUCAGCAGAGGAUAUUUGAUUCCUUUGAAAUGAUCUCAAAAAAAAAUACAGAAUUUGAUAUGAGGUAUAAAGGUAUCGGUAUUCCUUAACUGUUAAAUCCUAGUCCAUAGAAAUGCACAAACAUACAAGAAAGAGGAAAAGAUCCUCAGUAAUCCUUACCA